UGAAAUAGAGCACUUAAGCACAAAAAAGCAGAGACUAUAUCUCGUACCUUUUGCAUCAUGAUCUAACCAGUACCUUCAAGCAAAGAGACCUCUAGUUUGAAACCCCGAAACCAAGACGAGCUACUCCGGGACAGCCUCUAUGGGCCAACCCGUCUCUGUAGCAAAAGAGUGGGAAGAUCCCCGAGUAGAAGUGAAAUACCUAUCGAGUCUGGUUAUAGCUGGUUGCCUGAGAAAUGAAUAGAAGUUCAGCCUCAACACACCCCUCUGCCCAAAAUUAAAGUCUAACAAGACAUAACAAGGCAAAUAGGGAUUUGGACGAGAGUUAGUUGAGGGAGGUACAGCUCCCUUAACAAAGGAUACAACCUUGAACAGGAGAUUAAAGAACAAAUUUUAACAAGAUAAAAGGUUUUAGUGGGCCUAAAAGCAGCCAUCUAAACAGAAAGCGUUAAAGCUCAGACCAAAUAUUUAAAUCUAAAAUACCGUUAAGACCUCUAAUAUCCCUAAUUAUAUUAGGCCUCCCUAUACUUUUUAUAGAAGAGAUAAUGCUAGAACGAGUAAUAAGAAGAAUGAACUUCUCCUUGCACAAGUGUAAGUCGGAUCGGACACACCACCGACAACUAACGAACCCAACAACAGAGGGCCCUACAUAUCAGCCUUUCCGGCCAAGAAAAACAUGUAUUUUCCCAUCGUUACCCCUACACAGGAGUGCUAGAUUAAGGAAAGACUAAAAGGAUAAAAAGGAACUCGGCAAACCCAAACCCCGCCUGUUUACCAAAAACAUCGCCUUCUGAAAUUUUUUAUAUAGGAGGUCCCGCCUGCCCUGUGACCAAGUGUUUAACGGCCGCGGUAUUUUAACCGUGCGAAGGUAGCGCAAUCAAUUGUCUUUUAAAUGGAGACCUGUAUGAAUGGCAUAACGAGGGUUUAACUGUCUCUUUAUCCCUGUCAAUGAAACUGAUCUACCCGUGCAGAAGCGGGUAUAAGAAUACAAGACGAGAAGACCCUAUGGAGCUUUAGACGCCCACCACCCAUAAUCCAGCAGACCUUUUCUAAAGGUCCUUAAUAUAAUGGACUUGGCACAAACGUCUUCGGUUGGGGCGACCGCGGGAGAAAAGAAAGCUCCCAAGUGGAUUGGGUUAUUCCUAAAACCCAGAGCCGCACCUCUAAGUCACAAAACAUUUGACCAAAAAUGAUCCGGCUUCCUGCCGAUCAACGGACCAAGUUACCCUAGGGAUAACAGCGCAAUCCCCUCCCAGAGUUCAUAUCGACGAGGGGGUUUACGACCUCGAUGUUGGAUCAGGACAUCCUAAUGGUGCAGCCGCUAUUAA
rnacentral:rRNA from 1 species